UGUAUGUCAUUAAACCACAAGUAUCAUGAAGUACUUUUGAUAACGAAUCUAACGAUACCAAUCUUAUGUCAUAUAAAACACAUCUUAAUAUACUAAUUUGUGGUCAAAGACUUGUCUUAAUGAAAACUAAUAUGUCAUUUUUUAAGGAACGGAGGGAGUAUAUAAGUAUGGAGAUGUCUCUAAAAGGAAAAAAAAAUAUAACUCUUAUAAAUCUAAGUUGAUAAGUUUUAUCUUUGCGUGAAACAUUGGAUUGGUACAAAAAUAUUUAGCGGCA
rnacentral:lncRNA from 1 species